rnacentral:tRNA from 1 species
GGGGUUGUGGUGUAGUUUGGCAUAACACCCCUGGUUUGGAACCAGGAGAUCAACAGUUCAAAUCUGUUCAACCCCA